rnacentral:lncRNA from 1 species
GCAAAGAUAGAAACUUUAGAAAAUAAUAUAGAGAAAUGCACACACACACACACACACACAUAACUUUUAAAAUAAAGGUUCACAACUAGUAAGUUCUGAUAAUAGUGAUAAUAGUGAUAUUUGAUAAUGACUAUGGUUUUUCCAUUUAGUAGUUGUUUUCAUAUAUUUUGUAUUGGAGGUGGACUAGCUUAGUAGUUAGAAGUCUGACAGUUCACAUCUUGCCUUUGCCACAUAACAGAUGUGGCAAGGGCUGGGUAUUAAACUUCUCUAAGCCUCAGUCUGAUCUCUGGACCUACCUCAUAAAGUUGUUAUGAGGAUUUGGUGGAAUAACCCUUAUCAUGUGCUAAGAGGGUCUGAUCCAUUCAUGUUACUUAUUGUCCGAUUUUCUGCCCCCCAAAACACUCUUGUGAAAAAGUAGGACAUAGGGGAUUACCUGAAUUUUACCAAAGAGGAAAAUUGUGCUCAGAGACAUUAGGUGAAAUAACAGGCAAUUCGUUAGUUUUGAAACUGAGUUUGAAUUGCAGCCUUAAUGCCAGGACUGGAAAAGGCCAUCCAGAGGCUUUGCUGGGAUUUCUCUCUAGGGUGGAGCAAACACACAGGAAACUUGAAAGACUCGUUGAACCACUCCUGUGGGGUUAAGAAAACCCCUGCAGAUCUGACACUGUCAGUUCGUCUGUAGGGCUGCAGAGCUAAUGGCUACGUUCUAUUCUAUUCGAGCUGAACAUUGGCAAGGCAGGUUCAAAUCAUUCUUCACUUUUGGAGGGAGGGUGGUGUUGGGGGGAAAUUAUGGAAAUAAAUUAUAUCAAUUUCAGUAAGCCUCUCAUUUCUAAAUGAAACCCACUUGUAUGAGGAUUUCUAUGAGUACAUAGCUACUUUCAAAACCCAGCUUUCAUGGUUAAUGUGGCUUUGCAGAUUGGGUACACACUGAGGCCCAGGAUCGCGGGAUGCUGACUGGUCUUGGCCUUAUUUGGGCAAAUGCGUUUACCCAGCAGCUUUUAUGCCACAGGCUCCUCUUUUUAAGCUGCUCAAAAAGUAGUGCAUCUCAUCAGCUUGUGACAAAGAUGCACUCUGAUUUCUUCUUAGCAGUUUCAUUUCUUUAAUGAGAUUAAACUUACCCCUCACAGGCAGUCUUUUACCAUUCUUUGGCAAGUAACCCAAUUUUCUUUGUCCUAAAAAAUAGUUUUACGAAGAAAUUCAUUUUUUUGAAAAUGACAGAAAUGUCCAAAUGUCUCGGCCAGGAACAGUCUCAUCUCUCAUUCUGUUGUUGUGCUUCUUGUAAAAAUAUUCUUGGACUGCUCAGCUUUAGGACACACAAACUAUGUAAGUGAAAGAUUCCCGUAAACAAUUAAAGGGUAGUAUUUCACAUUAUUAAGUUUUUUUUGUUCACUGAUGGAUUGUGUUAGUGAUAAGUUUAAUUUAUAGAAAUAAAAUAUUAGGAGUUGGUUGACCAGCAAAAUCUCUGAAAUCAUGUCAUUGAGAAGACAAUUUAAUGGGCAAACAUUUGAUGUAUAACCAAGUUUUUGGUAUUGCAGCUAUUUGGUAAACCUCAAAGUGGAAUCUACAGAGACAGGCUAGAAAGCCAACAUUAAAAGCUUCAUAAAAUCGUAUCUUUGGAUUAUGAUGAAAACAUACUUAAGGAAAGUAAGCUGGAAAAACUAGGUUUAGAGGUCAGGCCACAGAUAGAGAAGUAUUUAUCACAGAUAUAAUAAUCUGCAAAGAAUGUAUGGAUAAUUUCUUCUGGAUAUUUAUUUUUACUUCUAAUACUUUCAAAAUAACUGCAAAAUUCCAUUGAAAUAUAACAGCUCUUCUCUGAUUGGUACAUGUCCGGGGGCACAUUUUUGCAAUAAUAGAAAUGUUAGUUUUACUGUUCACAAAAAACCCCUCAAUUUCGCUAAUUAAGUCUUAGGCACAGUGUGAUUCCUACCAGAACUGCAGUGAGAUACUGCACACAUUGCUUCCUGUCCUGAGCAUUUGAGUGUUGCUAGGCAACAGUUAAAAAGGCACCACAUACCUUUGGUGAGGCAUUGCCAGGUGUAAAAAAAAAAAAAAAAUGAUGCCAGGUAAGCUGAGCUGAGAAGCAAGAAAUCCAUUAGGAAUAAAAUAUACUGGAUGAGUGUGUGCCUGCAUGCAUGUGAGUGUAGAAAUGUGAGUUAUUAGUAUUCAUCCACAACUUGUUACAGAGCACGCAAAAAACUAAUUUUCUUUAAAAUACGUGGAUUCCAGAGCCAUAUUAAAUUCAUGAUGUCUUAGCCUUGCCCAUGAAUACCCUACUUGUUUCAACUGUAAGCAGUGAAUCAAUUUUUUUAAGAGGUGAGAGGUUUGCAAAACGGCAAUAACAGUAGAUUAUUCAUAUUCCCUUCUCCCCACUUCUAAUCGAAAAACCUGGGGAAGGAGAGAAACCAUAUCCUCCCAACCAAGUCAUCUAUAAGAAAAAUGAAUUAACUUUCAUAGGUGUUGCAUAGUGCAAUAACUUUUUUGUUUAAAGUCAAAGUUCCUGAAAUUAGUUUUCUAUGAUGAUUUUAUCUCUGGGGUGAAAUUCAGAUGCAGGGUGUAGAAGCCGAGCGAGGCUGGGUUGUGUUUUCCAAACAUGGUGGCAUCAACCUAACCCUUCCCACUUGCCCUUUCAACACUCUGAUGAUGGCAUUCCAUCAAGAGGUGGGGCCUGUGUCCCAUUUCCUUGAAUGUGGGUGGGCCAACAGCAGAGCAGAAGAAAUGUUACCUGACUUCUAAAGCUGAGUCCUGCAAAAUGACAAAGCUCCUGCUGGGAUUUCUUUCUUGGGACUGUAUCUUAGGAUCUCUGUGACACAGAAGAGUACCAACUGGCCUGAAGCCAUCUUGAUGGAGAGACCAUGUGGGAGGCUCCACAGAGAUAUUUCUAGCUGUUUGAGCCUUUUCCCCACAAUCAACCUCUGGACCCAAGAGAGCUAGCCUUCAAACCACCCCUCACUGAUGCUGAGUGGAGCAGAGACCAGCUGUACGAUGGAGCCCUGACCAAAUUACAAAGUAAUCAGCAAUAAAGUGUUAUGCUAC